CGGCGGACGGGUGAGUAACACGUGGAUAACCUACCUAUAAGACUGGGAUAACGUUCGGGAAACCGGAGCUAAUACCGGAUAAUAUAUUGAACCGCAUGGUUCAAUAGUGAAAGACGGUUUUGCUGUCACUUAUAGAUGGAUCCGCGCCGCAUUAGCUAGUUGGUAAGGUAACGGCUUACCAAGGCAACGAUGCGUAGCCGACCUGAGAGGGUGAUCGGCCACACUUGAACUGAGACACGGUCCAG
rnacentral:rRNA from 1 species